rnacentral:lncRNA from 1 species
UUGUUAAGGUAAACAUAAGAUUGUAUUAAAAUUUGAGGUGGAUACGAGUUCGGAAAAUGUUAUGUGGUAUUCAAACUUCAAUGUUUGACUUGAACUAUAUGAAACUAUAUAAGAGAUGUAUCCAUUUAUGAACCAUGUAUAGUCCCACUUUAUUAAAAUCAUUUGAAACUUUUAUGGAAAGCUUAUGGACCUAUAAUAUGUU